UGAGGAAUAUUGGUCAAUGGAGGCAACUCUGAACCAGCCACGUCGCGUGAAGGAAGACGGCCCUACGGGUUGUAAACUUCUUUUGUAAGGGAAUAAAGUGCAGUACGUGUACUGUUUUGCAUGUACCUUACGAAUAAGGAUCGGCUAACUCCGUGCCAGCAGCCGCGGUAAUACGGAGGAUCCAAGCGUUAUCCGGAUUUAUUGGGUUUAAAGGGUGCGCAGGCGGAAGAUUAAGUCGGCGGUGAAAUUUUGCAGCUCAACUGUAAAAGUGCCUUCGAAACUGGUUUUCUUGAGUGUGGAUGAAGUAGGCGGAAUUUGUGGUGUAGCGGUGAAAUGCAUAGAUAUCACGAGGAACUCCGAUUGCGAAGGCAGCUUACUAAGCCAUAACUGACGCUCAUGCACGAAGGCGUGGGGAUCAAACAGG
rnacentral:rRNA from 2 species